rnacentral:rRNA from 1 species
AUGGCUCACAUGGCAUUAACUGAUGCCACUGAGCUCGUCGAGCCUGCCAAGCUGCACCGAGCCAGAGGAAGCUCGGGCAAAGUGUCUUUCUCUUGCUCGCCUGAGCACCCAACUCGGUUCGGCUCGACGAGAGGUGAGCUUGACAAAAGCUCGGCUCGUGUCCAGAGAGGUCAUGGGCUAAGGGACUUUGGUCCUAAAAAAAUGAUCUUGAGCGACCGGGGAGAUGGGGUGAUGAGCUAUAGCUUUUAUUUGUGGCCUCGUGUUAUCAAGGAGGUUCUCUAUUAUCUGGCAAAGAAUACUAUCACUAUUCUACUUAAAAGAGAAAACAAACGGAUAUACCUGUUGCUUGUUGGUGUUGCUUGUUGCUUGUUCUUCCCAAUUGUAUAUUUGUUGUGCCUUGUUGUGGGCGUAGUUGCCUGGGUGAUCUACACUUUUGGGGCUGUCAUCUGUGCCGGGAUCUCCUUGUGGCGCAUAAUACAGCAUGAUUAUGGCAACAUGGACGGGGACAACAGCAAAGCAAACCUGAUGCCAGCAUUGGACUUCUUCUAUUCUCUAAUUCUCUGCCAAGGUGCACUCUACAUUUUAUGGCAGACAUCUAACAUUGUGUUCCGAAAGAUGUGGGGUGAAACAUUAGUUAAAGAGUACCUGGUUGACAUCCAGUCAAAAUGCUGGCGGGACCCUAAAUCCAUCAAGGGUAGGAGAUUGGUCAAUUAUGCGGUCGAUUUGCUGGACUCUGAAUCAUCACAAGACUACCUCUCUGGAGCAGAGAUGCUGGAUGUGCUCAUCAAGCGUGGAGUGGAUGUAAGGCCACUUAUACUCCCCUCCAGCCAAAAGGUUCAGAAGCUGAUCGAUACACUGAGGAAGAGUAGUAGCGACAGGGAGAUUAAGGAGCUCGCUGCCAGGAUAUUGGCGCAUCUUGCAUGUGACAGGGAUUUAACCCAGUUCCCUGGGGUAAUACCGUGCAUAUCCUCCCUACUCCUUGGUACCACCACCCAACUGCCAUAUUGGAACAACCAACAGGGAUCCAGCAAUCAGUCUCCUCAAAGUGAUGUGUUUUAUCAGCUAUUCGCAGAAAUAAAAGAAAGUAAAUUGGGUUUGCUAUUGUUAAAGAUAAUAGAAAAAGGAAAAUUGGAUCAGCAAGGUGCAAGGGGCAGCCAAGGAGAUCGCGAUACCACCCUGCCAUAUUGUAACAACCAACAUCAGUCACCUCAAAGUAGAUUGGAUCAGCAAGGUGCAGCGGACAGCGAAGGAGAAGGAGAUGGCUGGAAUGAGUUGAUUCUGCAAGGCCUAACGAUUCUGGAGAGGCUGGCGUCUGACCAACACAACUGCAGGGACAUAUGCAGCACCCCUGAUCUAAUGGCCAAGAUCAUGUCACCUAUCUACUCUGACACACUGAUCCAAGACAUCAACAUAAUGCCAUGGCAAGAUGUAGUAAAUGGAGCGCUCAGAGUUGUGUACCGGCUCAUCCGUGCUCCCGAGUGGACUGGUGGCAGAAGGCUGGCCCAUGAAAUAUCCUGUAGCAAACAAGCUGUGAGCAACUUGGAGAUGAUUCUGAAUCAGGGCAACAUAGCUUGCCAACAACUGCAGAUGCGAGCUAUGGAGAUACUCACAGAAUUGACUUUGGAUUCGCCUGCUAAACUCGCCCUGGGAACAAAAGAAAAUAUGAUCAACAAGCAGUUGCAGAUCUUCCUUGAUGAAGGGAAAGAAGAAGACCUUAGGGUUACGGCUGGGAAAAAUUCGGCUGAUAACCUCGCCAUAGAAACAAAAGAAAAGCUGAUCGGCAAGCAGCUGCAGAUCUUCCUUGAUGAAGGAAAAGAAGAAAAGUUUAGGGUUACGGCUGGGAAAACACUAGCAUCACUAUCCAAGACAGGAACAACUAUCUCUGCGUGCAUAAUGAGUGAAUACAAUCCCAUUGUUGAGCAAAUGACUGAAAUCCUUGAUGCUAAGAACAAGGUCAUAUACAGAACAAUAGCUGCUGAGAUCUUGGAGAAUUUGUGUACUCUACAUACGAUGGACAAGAAUCAUGUGAGGAACAACUUGCUGCAGAAGGUAUCUGAAGCGCCAUUAGAUGUGCAAGAAAAUCAACUGCAUGACGACGAAGAGAAUCAACGUCUGGAGCAUAAUGUCCAAAUCAAAUCAUCCGAUCAAAAUGAGACGUAUAAAGCUAGGAUGGAAUUGAAGGAAGCAUUGUUAUCCCUUACUUCGGUGAUAUUUGACAAGUUGAUAAUCAAUGCAGAGGAUUUUGAUGAUGUCGCUCGAAAGGUUGCCCCGGGAGAAGGUGAAUUUGUGGCGAAGCUCAAAACUAUAGUAGAAGAGAACUGCGAGGCCACGGCUAAUAGCCUACGAAUUGUCAAGCUUUGCGGUCAGAUUGCUGUCACAAUGAUGAAGCGCAGCCAGUACAUCGCACACUUCAAGGAUCAGAAAUUUGUGGAGUCACUGUCCGAGGUUUCAAGAAAGACGUGUAACCUUGAAAGUUGCAUGCUCUUCGCUGGGACAGAUGGUGGUGCGAAGAAGACUGCCAGGCCCCUCCUCUUUGAUCUUGUGAAAGAGGCAGAAGUGUUGGUUGCUUAA